UUAACUUUGGUGGCAGCUGCAAGAUGAUCUAUUUGCAAUAUUGUUGCUUCUGCAUCGAUUUGCGCCUUGGCACCUAUAUUGUAGCCGGCAGCGAUAUAUUGAUGGAUUUACUAUUCGGUAUUUUCAUAGCAAUAUUUGGCGAGUCGGGCAUACCCGAUCUGGGCCACAAGCUGUUCUGCGUAUUUAUGCUGGUGCAUCUGGUAAGCACCAUAUUGUUAUUGUAUGGCGCUUUGAAGCUACGUCCGGGCUUAAUGCUGCCCUAUAUAAUAGUCACAUGUAUCAAGGUGCUGGCAAUGGUUAUACUACUCAUAGCAGACAUAAUACUACUUAUCUGGAUACCAGUUAUAGUGAUCUAUGUGGUUAUGUUUUUUAUUGGUCUGUAUUAUUGGCUGGUCGUUUAUUCGUUUUAUGCAGCCCUGGGCGGCGAUCUGUUCAUCUAAAGAGGAGCGUUUGCAGCAUUUCAAAUUCUAAUCUAAAAUUUUAAGUAAUCCAAAAAAGCCGGGAAGUAACAAUGGUCCGUGUGAAAAAUUGUUGCUUUUAUCUAAGCUUGCGGCGUGGUUGUUUUGUUAUUGCCGUCAUCGAUAUGAUUUUUAAUAUUAUUCUUGUCGCGUUUGCUCCUGAACAAUUCGCACAAACUGAACAGGCAAUGGCAAUUUGCCACUGCAUCGGAUGUGUCAUGCUGCUGAUCGGGGCAUUCUUUCAAUCAACGGUACUCCUACUAUUCUAUUUAAUCACGUGUUUCGUCAACACCACCAUCGAUAUCGGUGUCAUAAUUAUGUCUGCCCUGGACUAUGGGCCGUCUAGCUUAUAUGUGAUUAUCUUGGGAGUCGCCAUCGUAUGCUGGAGCUCUUAUACAUGGCUCGUUGUAUAUUCGUAUUAUCGUCUAAUUAACUCUCGAGAUGACGAGACAACUUAUUAAUGAUCGAUUUAAGCUUAACGUAGAAUCUGUGAUAUUUCAUUUAUUUUCUCAUCUGCGUACGUCUCAUGCGAGAACAGAUAAAAUAUCAUUCAUUUUAUGACAAAUAAAUGGAUACAUAUAACUUGGCCACCCCUAUAAAGAAAAUAGAACGAUGAACCACUUGUUCAGUUGGGUAAUGAAAAUGCUUCGCAGAAGACUUAAUUGGUGUCUUUAUGGACCAACUUUCUUACAUCACGCCUAAGACAUAACCCACUUUAGUAUAUACUUGUGUGCUCCUUGAGACUGUUGUUAAUCGAUUCAUAAUUCAAAAAAUAAUGGCAUACCAUGGCAUCAGUCUCGAAAUUUCCCGACCUCUGAGCUCCCUGGCAAGUCUGCACAAUUAGUAUUAUCUUGACCGCAGCUGUAUAUGUGAGAAAAAUGACGCUUCCACUGAAGUCUUAUCAAUGACGCUCAAUACUCAAUACUUUGAUACUGAAGGUUUCGGUCGACUCUCUCUUGUUGUUAUUAUCUUGACGAUAUUUAAAAAAAAAGUCUCUAUCAUUAAAAAAAACGUUUAACAAA